rnacentral:tRNA from 1 species
UGGGCCCUAGUUCAAUGGCAGAACAUCGGCCUUUGGAGCCGAGAAUCCGGGUUCGAAUCCCGGGGGCCCAACCA